GCCAGCCGAUUGGCGAGGGCGCUCCGUGCCCUUUCUGACAAUUGGCUGAUGCCAACCUCCACCCCCAAACCUUUUUACACAUUUGCCUGGCACCUAGCUCCUUCAUUACAACGGGAUCUUCAAAGUGACGGAGAACCGCACCUCGGGGCCGGGGAAAUGGAAGAGUGCACUAGGCAUGGAAACGAGUGAAGCCAGUUUCCACCUCCCUCCCUCCGUAUCUCGCCCCCCACUCCCGCUGUCAGUGAGGUGCUGCUGAGUGGGGAACAAGCAGCGAACGCAGGGCAGGGCAGCGUCGGCUCUGUGAGCGCCAAGUUGUCAUGAUGAAGACAGCAAGCUGCACAGAGCACGGACAGGAAGCCAAGUGUGGAGACAGGGAACCGCUCAUCACUUUAGGAAUCUAUCAAAGUGCAAACCGAGGGCUGCGAUGGAGGGAAGGGAGUGUGCACUGAGUUUAGACCCGCGGUUUGAAGCAGCAUGGAUUGCACUGGAUGCGAGGCAGUUUCUGUGCCUUUAGAGUCAGCGGCAUGAGUCCGUAUGGAGCCCGCACGUCUAUAACAGUAAAGCUGACCGUCCGUUCGGAGAAAAGUUGUAGCGGAAGACCGCUGCCAACGCACCCCUCCGGGGGGGCUGCUCACCUUCAUCCUCGCAGAGGCUCCUGCACCCGGAGGGGGUAUUUUUGAUGCUGUAGUUUCCCACCCCCGCCCCCAAACCUUCCCCUCUCUGCCGAGCCCCCAGUGGACUGGAUGUGGGCAAGCGGCUCUGCCUUGUGCCCUUGUGGAAGUUGCGGCGAUCGGAGUGACCCACUGGCGAGUGAUGGCCUUGGAAGGUGCCCAGGGAGCCAGAGGGGGCCGUGCCCACCCGGAGAGAUUGGCAGCAGGCCGGGGCCAAGGCGGGCCCCAGGGCAUGAGAAAGAUCACCGCCGCCUUUGUGAAGCAGGCGAAAAUCCACGGGGUGAAGUAUGUCUGCUCCCAGCACCACUCCCUGCACCACCGGGUCGUCUGGUUCCUGGCUUUUUGCACCUCGCUGGGUUUCCUGAUCUCCUGGUCAUCCAACCGGUUCCUGUACCUGCUCUCAUUCCCGUCUCACACUCGCUUCCACAUGGAGUGGACCAAGGAGUUGAACUUCCCCGCCCUCACCAUCUGUAACAACAACCCGAUCCGUUUCUACCAGCUGACCAAAAGUGACCUGUACUACGCGGGCCAGUGGUUGGGGCUACUCACUGAGAACCGAACCGCCCGGCCCCUGGUCAUUGAGCUCAUUAAAGAGGAGAGGCAGCAGUGGUUUCAGAAACUUUCCGAUUUCCGCCUCUUCCUGCCGCCCCGCACUUUCGAGGGCAUCAGCCUGGAUUUCAUGGACCGCUUGGGUCACCAGUUAGAUGACAUGCUGCUGUCCUGCAAAUACCGAGGGGAUAUGUGUGGGCCGCAGAACUUUACCUCAGUUUUUACCAGAUAUGGGAAAUGCUACAUGUUUAACUCAGGAAGUGAUGACAAGCCUCUAUUGACUACCGUCCAGGGGGGUACUGGUAACGGCCUUGAGAUCAUGUUGGACAUUCAACAGGAUGAUUAUUUGCCAGUCUGGGGUGAAGCUGAAGACACCACAUUUGAAGCUGGGAUACGCGUACAGCUGCACACUCAGUCUGAGCCACCAUUUGUACAUGAGCUGGGAUUUGGAGUCGCACCAGGAUUCCAAACGUUUGUUUCCACUCAAGAGCAACGGCUGAUAUACCUGCCACCACCAUGGGGAGAUUGUCAGUCUUCAGCUGUCAACACUGACUUUUUCCCAAGCUACAGCAUCACAGCUUGUAGGAUUGACUGUGAAACAAGGUACCUCGUGGAGAACUGCAACUGUCGAAUGGUACAUAUGCCAGGUGAUGCACACUACUGCACUCCAGAGCAGUACAAGGAAUGUGCAGAGCCGACAUUAGCCUUCCUGGCAAAGAUGAAUAAUAAUUGUCUCUGCAAGACACCAUGUUAUCUAACGCGAUACAACAAGGAGCUGUCCAUGGUAAAGAUUCCUAGCAGGACCUCGGCAAAGUAUCUUGAAAAGAAAUUUAACAAGACUGAAAAAUAUAUUUCGGAGAAUAUUUUAGUACUGGAUGUAUUCUUUGAAGCAUUGAACUAUGAAACUAUUGAACAGAAGAAAGCAUAUGAAGUAGCAGGCUUACUUGGUGACAUCGGAGGUCAGAUGGGACUGUUUAUUGGUGCUAGCAUUUUAACAAUUUUAGAACUCUUUGAUUACUUGUAUGAGGUCAUGAAGGAUAAGUUAAUUGACCUGACUAGCUUCAAGAAAGGAGAGGAAGAAGGAAGUCACGAUGAUAAUGUGGUAACACUUUCUGUUAACCUAGAUGAGCAGCUGAAACAGGACUCAAGCUCUUCCCAGCUGAACUAAUUGUGCCACGUCUGCCAACCAUCUUUAUAAGAAAACUGUGUUGUUGUUAUACACAUAACAGAUUUCGUUGAAUGCAUAAUUAAUGCUUUAUUGCAAGAUAAAGACUUGUAAGAUAUCCCUUGUGAAGUACAAUAUACUGUGAAGCUUUCCAGGCAAGAAGAGGCGUCCUUUCAGAUUUGGAAAGUGCAGAAAGAAUUUCCUUCUUGUCUGGAGGGCAUUGUGCCUGGUCUGCAAUCUCGACAUUUAAUCAGGGCAUGAGCCAAUCAUUGCCUCAUGUGCUCCAAAAAUUGAAGUUACUAAUUAAGUAAUCUGUAUGGGUAUUUUUUCAACAAAAAGAAACUGAAUUGACGUGUUUGUGAUGGAAGUGUUUUGCUAAGAACAUCACUUCUUCAUUUCUUUUCUUUCCAUGUGGCAUUGUGUCAUGUUGUUUUGCUUCAUUUAUGGUGCUCUCACUGUAGCAAAUCCUAGGCUAAGUAAGAUGGUAGCUAGCAGCAACAGAAUGUAGACCAACAUUGUUCAAGGAGUAUGACACCCUGUCCAGCAUCCAACAUAUGUGGAUUUCAUUUUCUUAUUCACAUUGUCAUUUUUAAGUUUUUGAGGUGCAAUCUACCAGCAUUAAGCAUAGAAACUGAGAAUCCACUGCAUUAUGACUUAUACUUCUUUGCAAUCAGCCCAUUCCCUGAUAUUUAUGAUGUACUGUUUUGGUUUUGUGAAAUAUUGAUUUUCACAAAGUUCACUAAAAUAGUGAAGUAACUUUUUCUCCAGCACUGCCUCCCCCAUACCCACCCUGUGCUGAAUGAAUUUGUGAAACAGAGAUGAACUUGUAAAGUGGAUAAAAGUGUUCCCAAUCAACAACAUCACUUUGGCUUCAAGUGUAGUGAAAGCUAAUGACAAGAGAGUGCUUUCUAUCUAAGCACCAAGCCAUUUUCCUAUCAUCACAAAUUCAGAUGAUGGUGUGAAAGGUUUUAUCAAUUUUUGGCCCACCAUGUGGUGAAAUGUACUAUAAGAAGAACAUGCAAUACCUUUAAUAAGAUCUGAGGGCAUAUUUUUCUCAAAAAGACACUUCAACAACGCAUGUUAUGGCAAUGAUGUAAAGUGCUGUGGGCUCCUCAUACACUAUGGAACCAGUAAUAUUGUGAUGGCAGCCAAGCCCGAAGCCUUGUACUGAGUUUAUUGUAUUAUAUUUUCAGUUAUCCAAAAUGAAGUUGUUUAGGUCAGAGACUAAAAAAAAAAGUGUGCUGGUUAUAGUUAGAUCAAUAUUUCUGGUCAAUAUGAACUUCUAACUGUUAAUUCAUUCACCCGUACAAACCAAUAUCUCCUACAGAAAACCACAAAGCUGAUAUUAGCUGACACUGAGGUUUGCUCAUCUGAUUUAAUUCAUUGUGUACUUAAAAGAAAUGUAGAUGUGUGUCUUAAAUAAAGAGUACAUGAAAUGGAUGCAGUCUAACAAAGAUUUCAGCCCUUCAAGUUGUGUGUCCUUUGCAGCAUUCUAAAAGCAGAACUUCUUUAUGUUUACUGAAAUAUUUCCAAACCUGAAUCAUAGGACAAUAAUGUGAAGCAAAGGGCAUUCUUUUAUUCACAUUAUUGCUGAAAUCACUGUGUGUGAUAUUAAUUUCUGAACACUUGACACAGCUGUAUUGUAUUACUGUUCACUAUUUUAACUGAAGCGUUCAUCUGUUUAUUGUGGGUGUUCAUAUGAUAAUAACACCUGCAUCAAUCUCCUCUCAUAGUUAAUCUUUUACUGAGCUUGCAGCAUUUUGGAACCAUUUUACACUGGUGUACAAAGAUUACUAAUGUCUUAUAAUGAUGCUUCAUAGAUAGGUCCAUGGAAUUGUGAAUGUCAGUGAGCCAAUUGAAGGUUUUAAACGUAGUUCAGUACGAGGUAGAGCAUGUUUUUGACUCCAAGAACUUGGAGCUUUACAGAGUCCCACUUUGAAACAUGCAAUGUUCAAUAGAACAGUCCUAAAUUUGACUUCAAAGUAUAUAAUAAAUAAUUGCUGUAGCCACUAUAACAUAUGUAAGAAUCUCUGAUCAAGGUAAAAAGGCUUUUAAAUGCAAUUACAACCUAUUUCUCUGGUAAAUCUGCACAUUUCCAUACCAUCUUUGAGAUAUGUGAAACUUUGCUGAUAUGAUUAAUCCUGGUACAACUCAACCCACGAUAACCAAGUGUGGAGCUGGAUGAACACAGCAGGCCAAGCAGCAUCUCAGGAGCACAAAAGCUGACUUUUCAGGCCUAGAUCCUGAAGGACCUUGGAUUCUCCAGCAUCUGCAGUUCCCAUUAUCUCUGAUUACAACUCAACCCGCAUCAUGAUUAUUGAAGGUAGCAAGAACUGCAGAUACUGGAGUGAGAGUCAGUACAGGGUGGAGCUGAAGGAACACAGCAGGCUAGGCAGCAUCAGAGGAGUAGGAAAGUCAACAUUUUGGGUUUACAUCCUUUAUCAGGACUCUGCUGUAUUCCUCCAGCUCCACUCAUGAUUAUUGAAAACAGAAAACAUGUUGACGCUUAACUUAACUGGGGAAGAUUUCUAAACAGGAGGACGACCUCCAAAUGAUAUUUUUCUUUUAUCAUCCAUUCAUUGGAGUUAGGCAUCAUUUGCCGGACCAGCAUUCAUUGCCCAUUCCUAACCAUCUGUGAGAAGAUGGUGGUGAGCUGCCGUCUUGAACCACUGCAGCCUAUUUGAUGUAGAUAUACCCACAUUGCAACCAGAGCGAGAACAUUCAAGUAUUUUGACCCAGUGACACUGAAGGAACAAUAAUUUAUUUCCAAGUCAGGACAGUGAGUAACUUGGAUGGGGAACUUGCAGCUGGUUGUGCUCCCAUUGUAUCGAUGUAAAUCUGGACCCCCGCCGGGGUCUCUCUCAAUUCCGCGAUCGGUCAAUGAACACUCGCAGUCUGUCUGGCUCCUCGAAACUCUGCUCUUUAUUUCUUCAAUCAGCCGGGUACAGAUCAUCCAGAAUCACAGAAGUUGACCACUUCCGUAUUUCUUGGAGGAGCUGCACAUCAUAGGUUAAUACAAAGACAUUUUAUACUUUUCUUAAAGCAGGGUACAUGGCGUGAUCGCAUAGUGUUUUCAAUCAAUUUCCAGUCAAUACAUGAUGUUGCCUCAUUGACAGUUACUUAAUCCAAUAGUAUUAACUGGUACACAACUUUUGUCACAAUGCUUAGUCUACUGAAUUCUCUCAGCAUAUAGCGCCAUAACAUUUGCUACUGAAGGUCAGCUAGAAUGGUUAGUACUGCAUUACCUUAUCAUUGCAACAUUAUUUAUGCUGCAGCCCUAGCAGAAUGCGAAGUUCCAGUCUAAAAGAGCAGAUCUAGCAGAAUUCACAGUUCCCCGGCUGGAAGCCAUUUUGUUCCCAAUUCGCACAGCAGCCGUCCUAUGCCUGCACCCAAAUUACAGAUUCACAUCUAUAACCUUUGUCCUUCUAGAUGGUAAUAGUCAUGCACUUGGAAGUCGCGGUCCAAGGAUACUUGGUGAAUUUCUGCAGCACAUCUUAUAGAUGGUAUACACUGCAACUACUGAACUUUGGUGGUGGAGACAGUGAAUGUUUGUGAAAGGGAUCUCAUUUUAAGUGGCUGCUUUGCCCUGAAUAGUGUGUUAAGCUUCUUGAGAAUUAUGGACUCACACUCAUUUAGGCAAGUGGGAGUUAGUCUGUCACGAUCCUGACUUCAGCAUUGUAGUGGUAUACAGGUUUCGGGAAGUCAGAAAAUGAGUUACUCACAAAAUUCCCGGUCUCUGAUCUGUUCUAGUAUUCAAUGUAUUUUUGCAGUUAGUCUAUUCAGCUUCUGGUCAAAGAUAAUCCCUAAGAUGUUGCUAGUGGGUAUUCAGUGAUGGUAAUUCCAUUGAAUUGCAAGGGACAAUGUUUGGAAUCUCAGCUGUUGUAGAUGGUCAUACACUGAGGCUUAAGGUGAUGUUAAUGUUACUUACAACUUGUGAGCUGAAAUCCAGAUAUAGUCCAGGUCUUGAUGUAUUUGGGCAUGGACUGCUUCUGCAUCUGAGGAAUUGCAAAUGGGACUGAACACUGUGCAGUCAUUAGUGAACAUCACUACUUCUGACUUAACAAUGGGAGGAACAUCAUUGAUGAAGCAAUUGAAGAAGACUGGGACUAGGAGACUAACUUGAGGAACUCAUGCAGUGAGGACUCAGAGCUGAGAACUGACCUUCAACAACUGCAACCAUCUUCCUUUAUACUAGGAAUGACUACAAUCUGUGGAAAAUUUCCCCUGAUUCGCAGUGCCUCUAGUUUUGCUAGCUCUCUUUGAUGCCACACCGGUCAAAUUUGGCCUUGCUGUCAAGGGCAGUCAUAUUCAAAUCACCACUGGAAUUCAGCUGUUUUGUCAUAUUUGAUCCAAGGCUAUAAUCAGUUCUUAAGCUGAAUAGCUUGGCAGAACACAAACUGUGCAUCAGCGGGCAGGUUAUAACUGAACAAGUGUUGCUUGAUUGCAAUGUUGACAAGAGCUUCAAUCAAUUUGCUGAUGAAAUGGUAAUUGUUCAGGUAGGAUUUGUCCUGCAUUUUGUGUACAGGACAUACCUGAUCAACUUUCCUCAUUGUCAGGUAGAUCCCAGUGUUGCAACUGUACUGCACCAGCUUGGCUAGAGGUAUAAAGUUCUGGAGCAUAAGUCUUCAAUAAUAUUGCAGGAAUAUUGUUAGGUUCUAUAGUUUUUGUAGUAACUAGUGAAUCAAAUUGGCUGAAGAGUGGCAUCUAUAAUACUGGGAACUUCUGGAAAAGGCUGAAAUGUAUCAUCCACUAAGCUCUUCUGAAAAUUGUUGUGUAUAUUUCACCCUUAUCUGUUGCACUGAUGUGCUAGGCAUCCCCAUCAUUGAGGAUGGGAAUAUUUCAGGAGCUACUCCAGUGAGUUGUUUAAUUGUCCACCACCAUUCAUGACUGGAUGUGGCAGGACUCCAGAGCUUAAUUCUGAUCUGUUGUUUGUGGAAUUGCUUAACCCAGUCUAUCAUUUCCUGUUUAUGCUGUUUUGCAUGCAGACCAUUCAGUCAUGUAGCUUCACCAGAUUUUUGGGUGUGCCUGGUGAUUUUACUGCACCCUUCAUUGAACCAGAGCCGAUCCCCUGACAUGAUGGUGAUGGUAGAGGGGAGUGAGCAUUGAGGUUACAAACUGAGUUUAAGUAUAAUUCUGCUAUUACUGAUGGCCCACAAUACUUCAUGAAUGUCUAAUGUUGUGCUCAAAAUCUAUUCCAUUUAACACAGUAUAAUGCCAGACAAAACAAUGGGCAGCAUCCUGAAUGUGAAAUUGGCACUUUGAUUCCACAGGAACUGUGCAAUGGUCACAUCUACAGAUGUUGUCAUGGACAUUACAUCUGCAGCAAGCUGAUUAUUGACAAUAAGGUCAAGUAUGUUUCCCAGAGCAGAAAUAUUUCGAGCUGUGGCUUGACUAGUAUAUGAUUCAGUUCUUCCAGUUUGGCACUAGCUCCCAGAUGUUGGUAUGGAGGAUUUAGCAGGGUCACUAGGCCUGAGCCUGUUGUCAUUUCUGAUGUCUCGUUCGAUGCCUGGUCAUCAGUCUGGUUUCAUUCCUUGUUUAAGAAUUUUAGUGGUUGAUACAACUGAUUGGCUUGUUGAGCCAUUUCAGAGGGCAGUUAAGAGUCAACUGUUUUGUUGUGGGUCUGGAGUCACAAUUAUGCCUGGCCAGAUAAGGGUGGAAGAUUUGCUUUAUUAAUUGAAGGAUUAAUAGAAUGCAUAUUAGUGAACCACGUGGGCUUUUACAAUAAUGAACAAUGUUAGAGAUGGUGAUCAUCAACAGGAUUUUAAUUCCAGAUUUUAUUGAAUUCGAAUUUCACCAUCUACCAUAGUGGGAUUCAAUCCCUGGUCCCAGGGAUGGAACCUGGGUCUUUGCAAUACCAGUCCAGUGUCAAUACCAACAGGUCACCAAGUCACAUACAGCAUACAGCUGUACCUAUGACCAGGAACCUAAUAUAAUUGUCAAGUUUGACUCACUGCCAGACAGGGAAUGCUAAAGAAGAGGCCACAAUCCAGCACCAGGGAUCUUCUACACUGCUUUUACUUGAAAGAGGCGUUAGGUUCAGCCUGGCCUAGAACUGAUUGCAAGGAGUCAGAAAGCAACUGAGAGCAGAGAUAUUGGGCUCAGAGAGAGGUGUGGUGGGGGUGCAGCCAAAUCUGAGAAAGAUCCAAAGAAAUUAUAGAAAGACCAGGAGCAGAGAUGAAAGGACUGGGGGAAUCAGUUCAGAAGGGAUAUCGGGUUAUCUCAGAAGAAGAUAAGAGAGGCAGAGAAGAGCCAGUUGUGAUGGUGGAAUAGGUGAUCAGAGAGUAUUGGUUGAGGAGGUGGGAGAAAGCAGUCAUUGCCAGAGCCACCGACCACAUAGAGAAUAUGUAGGUGAAGUGAGGCUUUCAGGUCAGCCAGCUGGCCUGGGAAAAUCACUCUUUCUCCUUCUAGCCCCCAAUGGGGCAGGAUGGUGGCUCAGUGUUUAGCACUGCUGCCUCACAGCGCCAGGGACCUGGGAUCGAUUCCACACUCGGGGUGACUGUCUGUGUGGAGUUUACAUGUUCUCGUCAUGUUAAUGUGGGUUUCCUCCAGAUGCUCUGGUUUCCUCCCACAAUCCAAAGAUGUGCAGGUUAGGUGGAUUGGCCAUGCCAAAUUGCCCGUAGUGUGCAGGGAUAUGUAGUUCAGAGGGAUGGCCUGGGUGGGAUGCUCUGAAUGUCAGAGUGGACCAGUUGGGCCAAAGGGACUGUUUCUACAGUGUGGGGAUUCUACGAAUAGAGUAAAGGCAGUUCUUGCUUCCUUUUACCAGUAGGAUUUGUUGAGGCCAGGGAACAGGCCAGCUUGUGGUUAGAAAUCAAAACCUUUGAGUAUUGAAGGUUUUCAGGCUCUACAAAAUGUUUCAGCACCUGUUCGCCUGCUGGGAAUGGACUGGUCACCACACGUUCUCCCAUCUCUGUGAGAAGUGCAAGCAGCUUGGUUUUAGCUGGGUUGGGUUUGUGUUUCAGUAUAUUUCAAUAUCUCAAACUCAGCCAUUUUGUAGAAGGUGGGGUUAAAAUAAUUCUGUAAUAAUUCUAAUACAAUAAACCUACAUAAUUCUUAGUUUAAUCAGACAAAAAUAUGGAGCAAAAGCUUUGCCAAACUACGUUAUAAAAUAACAAAAUCAACCUGAUUGUCUUGAAACACAAAUGGUGUCUCAGUUAGAUAAUGUUUGGAAGCCCCUUUUGGAGUGUAUUACUUUGUAAUAUGGGAGUAUUGACUGAAGACAAUCAAGAUUCUUGGAUUGAAUUUGUAGCAUUAGCAUUCCUAGUAUAAAUCUUCACAAUUUCUGAGCAUUAAAAAGAUGUGGCAUCUUUAAUGAAGAAAAGUACCCAAGGAGCUUCAGGGAAGUUUAAUCCACCAUUGAUACAUGCCAAUUCUGCGAUGAACAUAUGAGGAUGGCUAUAUUUCAGACACAGACAUGGGUUUUAAACGUGAUUAUACAGGAGAAAAGUAGGACGUAGAGAGUCAGAGAUUUAAUGUUAGCAAUUGCAAAGACGAGAGCCUAGCCAGCCAAAAGCCUGAUCUUAAUAAUAGAGCAAAAGGAGGGGAUGAUGUAAAUGAGUCAGAGUACAGAGUUCUAAGAUGGUAUAUGUAAGGCUGGAGGAAGGAUCAAAAGACAGAAAAUUAUGAAGCCAUUGAGGGUGAGAAUUCGAGUGUUGAGAUGCCAGUAGACCAAGAACAAUUGUAAUUAUGUGAGUUCACUGGCAUUAGGUGAGUAUCACUUGUAAGCAGCAGAGUUUCAAAUGAGCUGCAGAUUAUGGAGAAGAAUCCACCCAGGAGAUUACAGGAGUAGUCGAGUUUGAAGGUGUGACGACGGCGUCAGCAAUGGAUGGGCUGAGGCAGGAGUGGAGCAGGAUGGUGUUAGAGACUGACAGUGAACAGACGUUUCAAUAUGCUGAUACUCCAGACAACCUAGAACUUUAAUGAAAUCUAAAUGGAAAAUUCUAGUUAUUUGUCAGAAAUUCAUGUUUUGUUACUGGUGUGUAUCAGACAACAAUCUAUGCUAAACAAUUAUUAAUAAAUAAAUAGUGUGCAAUGUUUAUUUGGACAGAUAUUCAUCUAAAUCACAAAAUUAGUCAAGCAAACUUGUGUGUCCAAUUAAGUGCCUUCAUAGUCACCAGAAAUGACAGUCAAAAGUUCAACCCCUUUUACUGAGACUGAAAGCAAAUAUAAAGGAAAAUAAAACCACACUUAAAAUCAAACUUUCAGCUUGAAGCAAAUUAUUUUUACCUUGUGAAUGACAUACUAGAAAUUAGUAAUAAAAUGAAUUUUCCUUAUUUUUACCCCCACCACACCAACAGAGAGUUCAAUAAUAUUUGUUUUAUUCUGGUAUAUAUUCUACUAUUGUUCCUAUACAUUUUUGAUGCUCUUCCACCGAUGCAAUGAAUACCUUUUGGCUCAUAGGUUGCAGUAUGAUACCUAUUGUCUUCUGUUCUCAAGUUAUUGAUGAUCUUACUUUGGUCCAUUUUCUUGUUUCUCCUCAUGCUGUUUUAGUUGUUUCCUUACAGCUUUUACUAUUGUUCAUCUUCAACUUCCCGUCUGCUCCUUCUGUUUUCCAUAUUUAUUUUUCGGUUUCUUCCUUUUAGUUGCCUGUUUCAACAUAAUGAAGAUAUAACAAUCAAGAUACCAAUAGAGUCUCUAAUAAAAACACAUAUUUCUGUUGAGUCUUAGCAACCAUUCUAUGGCACAUUGACACUUUACACCACACUGGGCCAUGACAAGGUGAGAAAUAUGCCUCAAAAUGAUCAAACAGCAGUGUUGUUUUGUCUGCUGACACCAGGCACCAGGCGCUGUGAUUAAGGGAAUGGGGGAACCUGCUUCCAGUAUCUCAUUAGUGGACAAUGUUGUUGCUCAGUGCAUGGGUUCAGGGAGUCUGUCACCUUUUGUCAUUGCCUCUGUCUAGCAAGGAGGCAAUCAAGUUGUAUGGUUCUUCUAUGGCAAGUCAAUAACAUGGUGAAUGCGAGAGUCACAGCAUGCAGAGUCGGACCUCUGUUGGAGCUGAUUCCAAGGGAGAGAGUUUCAGGUCACCACUGCAUUGUGGUGGUGGGGGCAGGGGGGCAGUGCCGGCGGUUGUAACUGCUGCCACCCAUAGCCGAACUUCCUCUCCAUGGUCAGGCCGGAGGGUUACCUGUGAAAGAUGGAGGUCAUGCUUUUUUUAUUGCAACAAUAUACUUUAUUCACAGAAAACCUUUACAUACAUACACAGUACUAAAGCAGUUCUGUACAGUCUUUGCAUAUCAAGAGAAACAAACCUUGGAUCUGAUAUUCCUUGCAUUUGAAAGCCCAAAGGCAUUUCUUACCUAUGCAGGACGCUGUUUGCAUCCAUUUUAAGUUACCAAAGGGUGUGACAACUAAACGGAUCCCUACUGCACUUUGGCAGAAAGAUCCUAGACAAUGAUCUCUCCUCACUGCCCUUAGCAGCAGCUGCCGCAAGCUUUGGUGUGUCCCUCAGCACAUAGUCCUGGAUCUUGGGGUAUGCCAAUCUGCAACACUUAGUCAAGGGCAACUCUUCACACUGGAAGACCAACAUAUUUCAGAAAGAUGGGGGCGUGUUGUGAGAGGUGGCUGGAUGACUGGGAAAUGAGAAAGCCUCACUGAUCACUUAAUGACUCCACUCCCACCACAGUAUAGUAAAUGCAAGUCAGUAUGACAUUUAUGAUUAAUCAAUUCAGCUGAAAAAAAAGACUCGUGCCAAGGAAUUGGUUGUCUCCUUGAAGUGUGCCUUUAUACCAAAAAGGACAGGAACCACUCAUUCAGCACAUAACUCAAAUGUUUGGAUUAAGCAUCUAUGUAAUGACUGUCAUUUAGCCAGUAAAUCAGCUUCCUUUUUAAAUUGCCUUGAAGUGCAUUAUACUAAAACAGCUUUCUAAUCCGCAAAAUGAUUGCACUGCUGCAUAUUUCAUUUAUGUUACUGCUAAGCCUUUGAAAUGUUAUGGAAAAUUAGUUUUACAAUUAACAGGAGAUUUUACAUGUACUGUUGGUUUCCAAACAAUCAAACACUAAAUUAAUCUUUCCUAAUAGCUUUUCCUACCUGAGGUAAGUUAAAAAGAAGACAAAAAAUUCAAAUGAAAGAAUCUCUCUGCUGGAGAGAAACAAAAUUUGCCUAACACAGGAUAGAAUAUUUCUGUUCAUGAUACCAAAGAUGAUAUUGAAAUGACAGCAACUAAUGGAGUGGUUAUUACCUGAACUUUGUUACGUUGAGGGUGACAACUAUGGCCAGAACUUGAAGAAAUAUUAUAAAUGUGUCCAUGAAAGUCUCCAGAAGUCAAUAUUUUUGCAAAGUUACAAUAAUCAGUACUUUUACAAACUUUCAAGAAGCAACCAGUUUACAACUUGGCUGCAAAUAUCAACUGGAGGGAAUGAUCACAAACAAAUUUUCCCUGGCAUAAAUAAUAUCUGUAGGGUGAAAAUGGUUCCUGUUACCCCUUUAGUGGAAACAUAAAUGGGGGAUGAUAAGGGUCAAUUCUGGAAACAAACCCUGUGCUCCAAAGUUAUCUCACAAUUUCCUGAACUGAAAUUAAGUUUGUUUCUUUUCAGACAUCACUGGCAGCCACUGAGAACACAUUCAUGUAUAAAUAAGGCGACAAUGCCUGUUUUAGGCAUCCUGGCAGAUAUUUCAGGAGGCAGGAAUCAGGUUUCCCAUGACCACAACAUAGGUAUGCUUUCCUGGUUGCCAAUCUGUUACCGCUCCACCCUGCUGCCCCAUCCGUUGAGAGUUACUUGCUAAAAAAAGUAAAUAAUCUGAAGUUUAUCCUCUUUAAACGUGUCGAGCUGUCUGCUCGAUUGUGGCAAAUGUCAACUGCUCAGCCAAAUUAAAGCUUCUGAAACCCAAGAUCUAAUUUCAAGUUGGCUUUAGGCUUGCAAAUCAGGAUAUGUAGCUUAUUCUGAGCAGUUGAAAAAAGUUCUACCCUUCUGUCAAACAAAACAAUAUAGAAAACUCCUAUUUCUUGAACAAUUUUAAACAGGAAUUUCAUAUUUAUUAGGUCAUCUUUAAAUUUUGAAAUUGUUGUUUUCUAUAUGAAAGGCAAGUGAAGAGAUAAUUGAUUCCUGAUUAAAGGGAACCUAAAUUAAAGCUUCCAAGAAUCUGUGCUAUUUUUCUGAAACUCAUUUUCAUUUCAACUGCAAUAUUUUUCUUUCAUUAGAGGCAGAAUCCAGCUCGAUUCACAAACACGUUACACUUAGAUGGAAAACCUUGUAAAGAAUCCAUCAAGAAAUCCGAUUAUAGACAAAAUUUGCAAUUCAAAUCUUCAAUCGACUUUCAGACACAGAAACCUGCACUUGGUCCUGGUAGAUAUCCCUCCUGAUUGCCAGAAUUGACAUAUAAAAAAACCAUUUGAUCUGGGGUAGAGUAAAAAACCACUUGAGAUAUAAUGUAGUUCAAAUGGGAAUGCUCGUUACCAUUUGUAAGACACAAUAUUGAAAUUGCUUAACAGUUUGAUGUUUGUUUUGAUGACAACAUGGGUCCAUUGUCACUAAUACUUUAACAAAGACAAUCAGAUGAUAAAAUCUCUGCCGACAAGAUCCCCGCUAGAGUGGAGCUAACCUGCAGAACCAGCAGGAAAUUAUUCAACCUCCUCCGCCUUCUAGCCAAAGUCAAAAUCACCCCAACCUGUGUCAUGGAGCUGCAGUAUACAGAUGAUGCCUGCCUAUGUACAAUCUCAGAGGAUGUGUUCCAGAUCAUCGUCAGCACCUUUACAGAGGCAUAUAGGAGCAUGGCCCUCACCCUGAGCAUCCACAAGUCAAAGGUUCUCCACCAACCUGGCCUGGCUCUGAAAAGCAAAGCCCUGAUCAUCAAAGUCCACAGAGAGACCUUAGACGAGGUUGAUCACUGGCAAUACCUUGGGAGUCUCCUGUUGGCCAAAGUAACUAUUGAUGAAGAGAUCCAGCAUCGCCUCCAGCGUGCUAGCUCAGCCUUUGACCGUCUGAGAAAAAGGAUAUUCGAGGUCAACAGCAUCAGAUCCAACUCCAAGAUCAUGAUUUACAGAGCUGUGAUAGUUUUCACUCUCUUAUCCAGCUCUGAGACAUGAACUGUCCACAGUAGACACAUCAAGGCACUGGAGCAGUACCACGAACACUGCCUGCCCAAUGUCCUGCAAAUCCACGGGGAAGAAAGGCACACAAACACCAGUGUCCUUGACCAGGCCAACAUGCCCAGCAUUGAGGCACUGACCACCCUUGAUUGUCUAUGAUGGGCUGGGCAUGUUAUCUGCAUGACCGAUAGAAGAAUCCCCAAGCAUAUGCUCUACUCCCAGCUUCGAAAUGGCAGGCAAACCCCAAGUGGUCAGAAAAAGCACUCCAGGGAUCCCCUCAAGGCGUCACUGGUAAAGUGCGGCAAUCCCAUGGACACCUGGGAAUGACUGGCUCAAGGCUGCUUAAAGUGGAGGAGGAACAUACGGAAAGGCAUUGAGAACCUGGAGCAAAAACCGGGUAAAAACAGCAUAAGGAGUGCGCUACCACACCAACACACCACCCAUGCCACUCCCCUUCCCAUGACUACGGUAGCCAUAUUGGUCUGUAUGGCCACCUACAGACUCAUCCUGAGGAUGGAUGAGUCAUCGUCAUUUGUAAGUUGCAAUUUGGCUGAAGUUCUCCAUCAAAUGGACUUGGGAAGCAAUUGUUUUGAGAGCUGCUAAUUACUCAUAGGAACCACAGAUGGCACAGAAGUCUUCUUGAACAUUAAGAGAUGGCUUGUAUUUUAUGUCAGUGUUUGUUUUUGUGAUUUAAUUGCUGUCUAGUAUGGCAUUUCAUCAACUAACUGUUCAACAACUCUUGAAAUUAACCAUCAAAUUAGUGGACGUGUCAAACCAAUGUAUCUCUCUUUUCAAUCUUUUCAAUGUAUCCUCCAACCAUAAAACUGUCUGAUUAACAGUGUGGACAAUAUGAUAGUGUUUCUAUGUCUAUGGUUAUAUUUUCCAGUCAGUGAUGCAACGAAUUAAUGUUCUGACCAGUCGCACUGAUUAUAAGUCUUCUGACCAACAGCCUUCCACAGGUCCACUGACCAGUAGGAAUCAUUGAAUCUGGUUGUUAAUUGAAGCAUUGCUAAUUAUUUAUCUCAAAAAUAAAACAUUGGCAUUGAUAUUUUGGUAUCACUAGAAUGUUGCUGAUGAAUACAUUUGUUUAAAUGCUUUAUCAAGAGGCUAUUUAAACGAUCUAUAUAAGUUGCUUUGAUAGUGCUAAUCUGAUUAUCUCCAUGCAUUCUUUCUCUAAUAAAUCUAUAUUUCCUAAAAGUUCAUCAAAUUUAAUUGAUGUUUUUAACACACUGAUUUUUUUCCCUUUAAAAAAUGGGAAUGCAGAGACGUAAUAACAUGAGAGAAUUGCAAAGACAAAUCUGAGUUCCACUGUCAACAAAUGCUUAGCAUUGAAUUCAUUAGUAAUCACUUGACUACUUUUACAUUACCUGAUGGAAUAUAGUUUCACUUGCACACCAGGUAGAUUAGUAAACCAAGUAACCAGCAACCAUGUAAAUGGUCUUAGUUUGGCCAAUUCUACCAUUGCAUUACCAAGGAUGAAAUUCUAGAUGAACAAGCUCAAGGUUAGAUUAAUUUUAAAAAGUGGAGAAAGUUAGAAAUUGAUAGCUAUUUUCUGGUUAUAAUCCAUAAAUGUCUGUGGUUUCAAUAUUCAGCAAUGCUUCUUAUGCAUUGCUUUUGAGGUGCAUUUACUCUUAUCUUUUACAGUGCUUGGUGUAUAUAGUUCAUCUGUUUUCAUAUACCACACAUUGUAUUGUUA